ensembl:lncRNA
AAUAUAUAUUUAUAUAUGAAGUAUAUAUACUUUUGCUUCUUAUGUUUAUAUGUUAUUAAACAGCUGGCAGUAUUCACUUCUGCGGCCUUAAGAAAGUGUUAAAAUGAUGUGUGUAUGUGGCCAUGAGGGUCAUCACAGAUAUGCUCCACUGAUGUGCUAAAAUGCUUACAUAUAAUAGGUCUUAAUACUCUACCUCCUGGUUCUCUCUGUGAAAUAGCAGUUAGAUAUAUUUGUUUAAAAUGUAUACAUAAUAUGGUAAUAAAGACUACAGGUAGUCAUUCCUUUGCACAGUUCUGACAUGCAUGAAUUUUAGUUACCACAUUUUAUUUUACCAUGUGUAACAUUUUAUAAUUUUACUUACUGUGAGAUAAGAGAAAAUAUAUAUUGGUCUCUGCCACCAAGUUCCUGGCACAGGGCUCCUGAAACCAUUGUAAUUUCCUGAGUGAAAGGAGUGUCUUUCGUUCUAAUGAGGCAACUCUGGGUGGGCACCUGCAUGAGGGCUGGUCACGGGAAAGAAUAAGUCAUAAUUAGAUGCUUGGAAUUUUCAGCCCCUCCCCCUAUUCUCUUGAGAAGGAAGAAGGGCUGAAAAUAGAGUUAAUUAUCGAUCAUUCCUACAUGAUGAAGCCUCCAUAAAAAUCCCAAUAGUAUGGGGUCCAGAGAGCUUCCAGGUCAGUGAACACAUCCACGUACAAGGAGGGUGACACACAUCAACUCCACGGGGACAGAAGCUCCUGUGCUCCAGACCGUCCCAGACCUCACCCUAUGUAUCUCUUCAUCAGAUCUUUCAAUAAACUAGUAGAUGUCAGUGUUUCCCUGAGUUCUUGCAAACUGUUCUAGCAAAUAAUCAAGUCCAUGGGGCAGGAGGUCAUGGGAAAGUCGAUUUGUAGCCAAGUCACACAGAAGUUGUGGAUAAGCUGGGGUCCUACUACUUGCGAUUGACAUCUAAAGUAGGGGCACUCUUGUGGGACUGAGCCCUUAACCUGUGGGAUGUGAUGCUAUCUCCAGGUAAUAGUGUCAGAAUUAAAUAGUAGGAUGACACCCAGCUGGUGUCGCAGAAUUGCUUCAUGUGGGGAAAAAACCCCACAUGUUUGGUGGCCGGAAGUGUCAGCAGUAAAGCGUCCUGUGUGAAAGUAAAGGAGAAGGGCACAGGAGGAGAACUGAAGGUUUCUGCAAUACAGUCACCAAGUGUAUUAGUUUCCUAGUGCUGCUGUAACAAAGUGCCACAAACUGAGUGACUUAAAACAACCGAAAUUUAUUCUCUUAGAGUUUUUCUGGAGGUAGAAGUCUGGUGUCGGCAGAGCCCUCAUUCCUUGCCCCUUAGAGCUUCUGGCAGCCCCAGGUGCUCCUUGGUUAAUAGCCACAUAACUCCAAUCUCUGCCUCCAUCUUCACACGAUGUUCUUCCUACCCAUCUUCACGUUGUCUUCUUACAAGGACAUGAGUCAUGCUGGAUUAAUGGCCCAUCCUAUUCCAGGAUGACCUCAUCUGAACUAAUUACAUCUACAACAACUCUGUUUCCAAAUAAGUUCACAUUCUAAAGGACGAGGGGUUAAGACUUCAAAUUAUUUUUCAGGAUCACCAUUCAACUCACAGCACAACGGUUUCACUAAAUAACACCAGUCCCCCAACAACAUGUUUCACAUUUCAGUUACCAUGGUAUAUUAACUGUGAGUAAUUGCAUAAAGUAAAAACCGUGCUGAUAGCUUUUGUUAAAAACAAGGCAACGGGCCCCAAAUGGAGUUGUUUAUUCUAAGCCCCAGAUCACCAAGCUGAGACUUGACCGAAUUACAGUUUCAGCUCUCCCCGAAAUGGAAUCUUAAACCAGUCAGUCAGGGAUCAGCUGAUAGCACUAGUUAGUAAUCUGCUGAUAGAACCCUGCCAUCUCCCAAAGGAAAGUAACCUUGCUGUAACCAACUCACUUUUUUGCCUAGUAUAACUUCCUUGUUCCUGCUCCCUUCUGCCUAUAAAAGUCUUUCAUUUUGUACCGCUCCUCAGAGCUCCUUUCUGUCUGUUAGAUCGGAUGCUGCCCGAUUCAAAUUGAUUUUUGUUCAAAUAAACUCAAAAUUUUUAAUAUACCUCCGUUUAUCUUUUAACAGUCUUCAGCACAAAAAUCACUAUGUAAAUAACAGACGCACAUCAUCAUCAGUGACCAAUCACGUCACUUCUUCAAAGUCUGUCGGUGACGGAUCACUGCGCAUAUCAUAGGAGUAGCAUUGCAAUAAGCAGCUAACACCCUUAAUGCUACAGAAACCAAGGAAAGAGGUUGGAAUUAUUAAAACUUAAAAGUUUAGAGAAAACUCCAUGUAGAGCUAAAAUCUAGACUUCUGAGGAAUAGGCGCUGAGGGGGCCGCAGUCAGUUGCUGCUGGUGUCUCUGAGGGUAUUGGAGGCAAAUUAAGUUCAUUCUGCUACUGCUGGGAAGUCUGCAAACUAGAUUCAGCUGCUUCUACAAGCAGGCACUGCUGCUGCCAGGGUGAAGAAGCAUUGUUGGGGUGAUGCUCACAGGAACCACAAGGAGACAGGAAGCAGACAGGAAGUGGUCACGUAAUGACUAUCGAUUCAAUUGAAAUAUUGUUGGAAGAGUUUUAUGCAGUUCUUUCCAUGAAAUCAUGGCUCAUACUGGAGCAUCAUUUAGCCAGUGAGAGCUGCAUAGAAAGGACACAAAGGCAUUGGGUUUCCUCCUUACUCUUUCUCUUGGAUCACUCACUCUGGGGAAAGCCAGUUACCAUGUCUUGAGAACACUCAGUUAACCUCAUGGAGAGGUUCCCAUGGCAAGUAACUGAAGCCUCCGACCAAGAGCCAGCAAUGAACUGAGACCUUCUGCCAACAGCCAUGUGAGGGAGCCAUCUUGGAAGUAAAUCCUCCAGCCCUAGUCAAGCCUUCAGAUGACUGUAGCAAUAGCAAAUGUCUUGACUGCAAUCUCAUGAGAGGCUCUGAGCCUGAACCACCCAGCUAAGCUGCUCCUGAAUUCCUGACUCAUGGAAACUGUGAGGGAAUUUCUGAAACCUACAGACCCAGUUGUAAUUGAAUGUGUGUAUGUGAGCUGUACCGGCCCCACAGAGGCCCGCACAGGCCUCCCCACACCAGGGCUGCCUUCCAAGUCACAAGCCCUGGAGUCUGCAGGUACUCCCCUGGUGCCUCUGGAAGAUUCUAAACAUCUCUGGACAUUCAGGGGAGAGGGAAUUUAGGACUCUCCACCCCAAAUUUGCUUUGCCGCUCCCCCACUACCAAGCACGCCCAGACUUAGUCUACAAUUCCUGUGGAGCCUUUGGAGUUCUGGGGAGUCAGGAGAUGUAACUGGUCCUUCAAGGUUCUGAGCCGAACCUGGCCGCAGGAUGUGCACAUCCUCAACAGCUGCGGACGACAGUUCAGACUAUGAGACUCUCAGAGGAGCAACCUAACGGUGGGAGCGAUCAGAUGUCAGGAGGUUCUGGCAUCCCGGGGGGAGGGGAGGCGAGGACAGGAUUAUCAUUCCCCUGUUACCUAAUACUGCUGCGUCUCCUGGUCGAGAAGGGGAGACACUUGGACAAUAAGCAACCAUCAUCUGGGUGUGGCUCCGUUUGGUGCUUGACGACUCACUCGUCUCCCUCUGCUGGCCGAAUGAAGCAACGCGUCACCAUGUCCGAAGGCCUUUAGAGCAUGUCUCAAUUAUACGUGGAAGCACGAAAACCAGGCUGCUUUCCUAAGAAGCGUCCUCAAUACCUUGUUUCUUCUGCAUUUUAUUUGCUUUACCCAUGUGCAUAGUACAGGGCUGUUUGAAAGAGGACCACAGAUGUUUUGCUUCUAUAGUAUUACAAGGGGUUAAUUAGAAAUUAACGAUUUAAAAUUGGCCCCCAAAUCUGAAAGCAGAACCAAAAAGGUGGUUGUUUCUCCUAGGUUAAAAGCCAGAGUUAAAUUGCUCAUUUAAGUGUUUAGUUUCAGUAGAGCAUAAAGCCCUGGAAAAAAGCCAAUUAUAACAGUAGAUCUGAAAAAAGCUAUUUUUAUUCUCAAGAGGGGGAAGGCUGGCCUUGCCUAAGUGAGUCCGUAAUCUGAGAAAGACGGGGGUUUGGGCUAAGAUAAUCUUUGAAAGGUUUGUAAAAAACGUGAAGCCAUUGAUUGAAUUUGUUUUCAUGAGAUUUAAAAAUCUUCAGUAAUUACUGUGGGAAGAAAAAGCGGUGUCUGCUCUGUUGAGGUCAAGUAACCCAGACCGCCUUCUCGUGGUUAGAUCAGCUCUCACUGUGGGGUCUUCACACCUACCACUUCACAUGCUGAAAAUGCUGCUCCCUCUCCCAGCUCCUCCUACUCCUUGGUCAGACCUCCCCUUACCUGUCACCGCCUCAGAGAAGCCUUCCUGAACACUUGGUCGGAAGUAGAUUCUUUACGCUGUGUUAUCUUCUCCAGGGCAUCCUCUUUUCCUGUUGCAGUACCACGAUGACUCACAAUUAUAUAUAUAUGUGUGUUUUCUUGUAUAUUCUCUUUCACCCUCACGAGCUUUCUAAAUCCCCUAAGGGUCAUAGGCUGUCUGAUCAGAACUGUAUAACCAGUUUUUGGAAUAGUACUUGGCAAAAAGUAAACAAGGAAUAAAUAUUUGUUGAACAGAUAAGUUAAAUUCAGAUACUGUAUCUCGAUCCCCAGUUUACUACUUUCUGGAUUCUUCUUUCAUAUCUUGUAGCUUUUUCAAGACUUAGUCUGUGUUCUUUUUCUCUUGUGAACUCUCAGUAACAGCUGAUUUGUUUUAGGAUUCCUCUUCCCAUAAUGCGAGAGCCACUGAGUGUAAUGGAAUCUUCACGGUUCCUAAAAAAAAAGAGAAAUAGACUAAUCCUGUAAUUCUUACAGUCUGUGUUUUCUCAUCUGUUGUACUUCAUUUUAUUCUGAGAUGGGGUCCCCCUGGGCUUUGACUUCUGAGUCUGGAGUUGUCCACAUGGUGCUCCCUCCCCUCCCACCAAAACCUUCCCUCCAACUGGGGAAAGGUGUACGAUUCCCUCUUCAGAAAAGUCUCUUCCUCCUGUCCAGAGACAGACUCCUCCAAGCAGAGGUUUAAAUUCCCUGGAAUUUCAAGUAGGCGAUUUGCAUUUCUGAGAACCUUUAGACUAGAUGUCAGUCAUUUCUUUGGACUUCAAGCCCAACACAAGAGUAAUCCCUCCGGGGCAUUUCUUUACCUAGGCAAAAUAGCUGUUAUUACUCUGUCCCGAGAGUUGUGCUAGGGUUUGGAGGACUUUUGUGACAUGUGGCUUUAUUCUGUAUUCAUUGAAAGAUUUUGAUUGAUGGUUAUGUAACUGUUAGAAUUGCCCUAGCUGCCUACAAAAUGCUGUGACUUUCUCUCCUUUUAACUGGUAUUGGGUAAUAGUUAAGAGACUAAACAUGAAGGUCAGAAAAACUCAAAGCUCUAAGGUCUUGGUUUUCUCACCCAUUUUGUUUUUCCUCUACAAAAAGGGGCUGUCACUUUACAAACUUGUAAUAAUCGUUAUAUAGCAUUUAUAGAGCAACUACAUUAUGCUAGGUACUGUUCUAUAUAUAUAAUACUACUGUCAUAUAUUCACAUAUGAAAUAUCUGAUUUUAUAUACAAAUAAAUUUAUGUAUAUUUAAUUCCAGGCCCCCUUUGGGAUAGGUACUAUUGUCCUUGUUUUACUGUGGAGGACAUGGAGGCACAGAGAGGUUAGAUAUUCUGGAGAAAGAUUCAAAUCUGUGUGAACACAUCUGCUAAGUGAUCCACUAUUUUUUUGUGGCUUCUUGUGAUGGAGGGGUGAGCAUGAUUCAAGGUCUCCUUCUCUAGACUGCUGUGUGCUCUGAGAGGCAGAGGCUGGCCUAUAUGAACUGUACCAACAAGCUUCCUUGCUCUCUGGCUUCCUAUUGGAUCUGGCCAGGGGGGAGCAUCCAAAGGACAUCAGAGGGCAGGAAAAGACAUGGAGAGACCGUCUGCCUGUGACCAUCCUGGACAACGCCUGCUCGUCUCUCAGCAUCUCCGCUCAGUCCUGCUUCCUUGGUGAAGUCUUCCACAACUCCCAAGGUGGAGAGUUCGGAGCCUUGAUCCACGCUGAAUCAGUUUGACUUCUGGAGGGACUGGAGACUGAAUAAAGGCAGUCACGUGGGUGCUCUAUGCUGCUGUGACCAAUCUCUAAUAGAAACCAGGGACGCCAAGGCUGAGUUUCUUUCCAGGAACAGGCUGACCACAGGCGGGAAAUACACCUACAAGGUAUCCAUCACAGCUGACGGAAGAAUGGAACAAUAAAAGACCCUGGAUUCUGUCAUGCCUGAAGGCUUACUUUUCCAAACCUCCUCCUUAAUCCCUAUUUUCCCUAUAUAACUACCUCAAGAUUCGGUAAUUGUUGAAGAUGGGUUUUUUGAGACUUUAGUCACCCAUCUUCUGAUUUUGCCCGCUAAUCCAGUUAAAGCUUCCUUUCUUCAUCCCUCACUCGUGGUGAUUUAUUGGCUCAGAUCCCGAUGAGCAGAGCCCAUUGCUCAGUAACACAUAUGACUCCAAUGGGAAAGGAAAACUAAAAGCUUAUUCCUGGUCUCCCCUGGACUCCACCCUGUGGACUUUCUACCUUUGCUCAUUUUAAUCUGUAGCCUUUCACUAUAAUAAACGGUAACCAUGAGUAUAACAUCUUUUCUGCUUUAUAUGAGUCCUUCUAGAGAAUCAUUGAAUCUGAGGGUGGUCUUGAGGACCCCUGUCACAGCUGCUUAGAAAAGGAAUGGACUUUGAGAUUAUUUGCAUGGGUUUAAGACUGCUGUGUGGAUCUUUUUUUGUUUUUUGAGGAAGAUUAGCCCUGAGCUAACAUCUGCUGCCAAUCCUCCUCUUUUUGCUGAGGAAGACUGGCCCUGAGCUAACAUCCGUGCCCAUCUUCCUCUACUUUAUAUGUGGGACACCUACCACAGCAUAGCUUGCCAAGCAGUGCCAUGUCUGCACCCGGGAUCUGAACCGGCAAACCUCGGCCGCGGAAGCAGAACGUACACACUUAACCACUGCGCCAGUACAAUGCCCCAGCUGCUGUGUGGAUCUUGAUCAAGAGAAGACAACCACACCCUCACUUCUGGAGGUAGAUCGUCAUUAGUUUAAGCCAAUCAACAGAUGACAUUCCUCUGGCUACAAUUGGUCCAGGGAAGAAAGAGAGACACUAGGGAUACAUGAGCACAGAUGAAAGGCCAUGUGAGGACACAGCAAGAAGAUGGGGACCAUCUGCAAGCCCAGGAGAGAGGCCUCAGGAGAAACCAGCCCUGUUGACACCUUGAUCUUGGACUUCCAGCCUCCAGAGCUGUGAGGAAUAAAUUUCUGUUGCUUUAGCCCUCCAGUUUGUGGUGUUUUGUUUCGUUAGCCCCAGCAGACUAAUACAUAAGGUAAUACAUUUUCUCACUGCUUAAGAAAUGUUGAGUUGAGAUUUUCUAUUACUUGCAGCCAGAAUCAUUUUGACACAGGAUAUUCGUGAUCUCCUUCCCUGCCCCUUUCUGCAAGUCUUUUUUUUUUUUUAAGAUUGUCACCGGAGCUAACAUCUGUUGCCAGCCUUCUUUUUCUUCUUCUUCGUCUUCUCCUCCCCAAAGCCCCACAGUACAUAGUUGUAUAUUCUAGCUGUAGGUCCCUCUGGCUGUGCUAUGUGAGAUGCCAUCUCAGCAUGGCUUGAUGAGCAAUGCCAUGUCCCCACCCAGAAUCUGAACUGGUGAAACCCUGGGCCACCGAAGCGGAGGGUGCAAACUUAUCCACUUGGCCAUGGGGCUGGCCCCUCUGCAAGACUUCUCUAUGCUGCUUUGUCACUUGUUUUCUGUUUCUCAGGGCACAGAAGCCAGUUGUUUCUAUUGCAUCCUUGCCUUUAGAUGGGGUUUCUAGGAAAAUAAUUUAAAAAGACAUAUUUGGGUCCAUAUGUGCCAAUUCCAAAAUCUCAGAAGAGAAAGCCAGAUUGGUGCAGCUUGGGUCUGGUUAGCACCCUUGAACCAAUCAGCUGAGGCUAAGAGGACAGGAGACAUGGAGUAGUUGAAAGGGAUUAUGGGAGUAAACUCUUAGAGAAAGAGAAUGGGCAUGUUUCUCUUAUAGGAGAUAUGGGGACAAGCAGGAAAUAAUUGGCUUUUUGAAUAUAGAAAUCUUAUUCAUCAUUAUAUUCCUAGUCCCUAGCACAUAUAAUGGAUCUGAGUAAAUCUGACUUAAACUAAGGAAUAAAAGAUGGGCAAUUGCUGGAAUAUAGAAAAAUAUUGAAUCCAUCUUUGUUUAGUGAAAGAGACACAGAUCUAUCUUGGUCUGUGUAGUGGAUGGUGUGGUUUGUAGUCCAGACACCCUCUCCCAGCCCAAGCCUGAAGAACUCAUUCCUCCAGCCGCUGGGAGUACUGGCAGCUGAUGUGUUUCAGCUGAGUCUCUCUCAGAAUUUUCCUUGGCUAAAGAGUGCUUCCUAGUCCAAGGCCAGGCCUCCUUCCGGGAGGCAAUUCAUGUCCAAAAACUGGUGAAUGCGGAGAUAUACAGACCUAGCCUUGUUGUUUCAACUUGGGCAACUCUGGAGAACUCAUCCCGACUCCAGAGCUCCUGAUAGGAUGGCCUGUGGCAUUUGUUUCGUCUGAAUCACAGUUCAGCUUUUCUCAUUGCACAACCUUGUUUCUUUAUUUCCCCACAGGAGUUGAUUCUAAGAGUAAUCCCCGAUAAAGCUCCCGCAGGCAAAUCUCUGCCUCAGAAUUUGGUUCAUGGUGAAUUCAUCCCGCAACAACUGGUGCCUGAGUGUCUGAGAUAGCAGACUCUAAGAGGGGACUUUGGAAAUGGAUCACUCAUGGGCCAAGUAUCAACGGGAGCCCCGUCCAUGUUGGUAGAAAUAGCAAAUAGUCCAUGGCAUGCUGUAGCAGGACAAUGUUUAAAACUUUCACCAAUGGUGAACUUGGAUCGUAUAUCAGCGGAAGGAAUGCACUGAUGGAUUCAAAGUAACACUCAUUUCAGAAUGACAGAGGAAAUAAUAAAUACAAGGACAAUGAAAUUGGUUGGUUAUUUCUGAGGGCCAUGGAAUCUCUGAAGAAACAUAAUGAAAGGGUGAUUAGUUAUCAAUUAAAGGCUAAGUACGAAAGCCAGAGGGCCUCCUUGGUAGCAUAAAAGAGACUCAUCUUCUGCAGCUGUAGGUCCCCAAAAAGCUGAGGGUGACAAGAGUAGCAGAGCUCUAGAGAGAAUUAAAUUCUCAGCCACAGCAAGUCUGCUCUGCUCAAGUCAGGGCUCUGACUGGGGAGGAGCAGGCUCCUGAGAUAGGGGAUGGAGAUGUCUGGCUUGAUGCACUUGACAGUAUUAAAUCCUCAGAUUCCUCUCCAGACGUGGCUCACUCUGUUAAAGGCUAAUUCUCUCCCUUCAGGGAAGUAGACAGUUCUCUCCCUAAAUAAGCAAGUAGACAAUGACUGUUUAUGUCACCCAGGCUCUGUCAUCAGUCACCCCAGUGCUGGGUACUGCGUACAGGAACAGGGUAGACAUGGUAGCAAGGACAGAGCCCACGCCCUGGUCCUACAGAAUGGGUUGCCACAUACCAGGACUGAUCCAGCUGUUGUUGCUGCCAAAUGCUGCUGAGACCAACCCUAGGCCCCUGAUAUGCCACUUGGUGGCAAGUUAACUACAUUGGAUCUAUUUCAGCAAUUCAUCUCGACUGGAACUGACACACAUUCUGGGUACCACUCGUGUCUAUAGGACCUCAUCCAGCAUCAUUAUCUGAGAGCAUACAAAGUGUUUCAUUGCUGACAUGGGAUCCUGGGUGACAUCUCAUUGGACUAGGGGACCCAUGUUACAGCAUAGGAGAUAUAGCAGUUCAUACAUGAUCUUAAGAUCCGCUAGCCCUAUCACAUACUAUUCCACAGAGAGGCUGCUGGUUUGAUAAAGUGAUGGAACAGCUUUGAUUAAAAACAGAUGUAAUAAAACCCAUUGAGGUGCCAGCUUGGAGAGAACUCAGAGAGGAUGUGGGCACCAGUCUCCAGGAUCAGUAUAUAUCUUUUUUUUUUUUUGAGGAAGAUUAGCCCUGAGCUAACUACUGCCAGUCCUCCUCUCUUUUGCUGAGGAAGCCUGGCCCUGAGCUAACAUCCGUGCCCAUCUUCCUUUACUUUAUAUGUGGGACCCCUACCACCGCAUGGCGUGCUAAGCCGUGCCGUGUCCGUACCCGGGAUCCGAACCGACGAACCCGGGGCUGCCGAGAAGCGGAACGUGUGAACUUAACUGCUGCGCCACCAGCCAGGCCCCUCAGUAUAUAUCUUAAAUCAACUAGCAUUGUAUAAUGUUGAGUCUCCAGUAAGCAGAUGUGAUAGAGUCAUUUACAGCUGGACUGGAAAGACUGUCUCUUUGUCUCUGGAGGUGUCUGGUUUUCGACUCUUAGCCAAGAUAAGAGCAGUGGGAUUUAUGAUGUGCUGUCAAAGGCCUGAAACUCCCAAGGCCAAUUUCUUUACUGACAGUCUUCAACUGGCCUAACCGGCUUGACAAGCCUGGCCAAGAGUGCAUGAAAACUCCAUUGGGAACUUCUGCAUUUAGACUUCCCAAAGCUAAGCUUCCUUGCACAGAUAUUUGGUGGUUUGACCCAGAUUCAGAGUGCAAUUGUGUUCGAAUAAGGACCCUGGGAAGUUAUAUAUGCAAUAUCUCUGAGACUUCCAAUGUAUGCUCAAGCUUGCCAUCUCUUACUGCAACGUAUUAUUUGCCUUUAAAUAAAAGCCGUAAGUGAGUCUGCUUAGUCCUUUCAAAUCUCUGAACUUGGGAAAUCUUUGCAGUAAAAUAUAUGGGUCUGGGAAACAAUGGAUGAGUGCAGGAUUGGCUCCACUAACCAUCACUCCCCAGUAACGCACUGGGGAAGCUGUGUUCACUGUCUCUGAAACUCUGCAGAUUUGAGAUCCUGCUUCUCAAAGAGGAAACACUAGGGGACACAGCAAGUGUUUCAUUAAACCUUAAGCUAUAGCUGUCACUCAGUUUCUUCAAACUCAUUGUGCCAAAAGACUUGCAGUCAAGGAAAGGAUUCACCAUCCUGGGAGAAGUAAUUAACUCUCAUCAUCAGGAAAGAAUAUGUUUGGCAACCAUGUGAUCUACUUGGCUUCUUGAUACUCCCUUGCCCAAUUUUUUUUUUUUGAGGAAGAUUAGCCCUGAGCUAACAUCUGCUGCCAAUCCUCCUCUUUUUGCUGAGGAAGACUGGCCCUGAACUAACAUCUGUGACCAUCUUCCUCUACUUUAUAUGUGGAACACCUGCCACAGCAUGGCUUGCCAAGCAGUGCUAUGUCCGCACCCCGGAUCGGAAGCACCAAAGCGGAACGUGUACACUUAACUGCUGUGCCACUGGGCCGGCCCCCCAGUUUUGACUGUGAAUGAACAAGUAAAAUAAGCACAUCUGGAGAAGGGGAUGAUGACCAGGGUCUUAGACCCCACAGGAAUGAGGUUCUGGGUCACCCCACCUAGGUAAACCACGUAGGCCAGAAGGGGUAAAGGGAAUCUAGAAGUGGUAGUAGCGGACAAUGAUGAUGAGUGUUAGUUAUGGUCUUGAGCUAAGCUGCACGGUGGGUGCUGGAGUGCAUUUCACUAACCUUUCUCUCACAAUUCUUUCCCCAACUCCCUGCUUCCAACAGGUCCUUUAAAAUCCUAGAGGAGCUGCUCUUAGAACUUAUUUGAAGCGAGUGGAUCCGAGAAGCCCAGGGAUGGACUGUGGACCACCCAGACCCCCAAAGGCAGGACGGAAGCUCCGAGUCCCCCAGCUGCUGAGAAUGGUGUCAGCCAACAGUUCUCUGCCGAGCCUUUCUCCAGGACCCGGCCUUGGUUGAAGAGUGCCGCCUUGCCGGAGGCCUCCCCCGUCCCAGGCGUAGCUCAUACCCAAUGUCUGGUUGUUGUGGGGAUAUAAAAUCCUGAUCCUCUUGCCCAGUUUGGAGUAACUCUGGAGUGUCAUCCUGUCCCUAGAGUUCCCUUUAGGAUUAGCUGAGGCCUUUGUUGUGACUGUGUCACUGUUCAACUUUUCUCUCUGCUCAGUUUUACUUCUUUUCCACCCCCAGAGGUUUUGUCGUUGAGAGUGCUCCGCACUAAACAUUCUGCACUCAAUCUCUGUCACAGUUUGCUUUUCAGGGAACUCAGCCAUCUGAAGGCAUCUUUCCAAACCCGGCCUAGUCCCCACGGAGCCCGUAAUUGCCCUCUCACUUUUGAUGGAAGACUACAACGGUUCUCAAACAGUAUUUCAAGGAAGCUCUGGGUGGAGGUGCUUCACUGCAAGUGUUUAAUUUCAAUAGCAUUCCUGAAAGACCAUUUUAACCAUGAAAACCACAAAAACCAACAAUAAGCACUAUUGCAACGAUAAAAACUAUUUUAAAACUGUGAACACAGAAAUGUAAAUGUGUUCUAUACUAAAUUUUACACAUCUUUGACAGUGUAUUAACUUGUGGUGCCAGCUCAUAUCAUUUCCGGGCAGACCUCAGAAGAAAGUUUCUCUUUCAUUAUGGCGCAUAUAUUUCAACUCUUAAAAUGUGUUGCCUAAUGAUGGGGACACAUUCUGAGAAACGCGUCGUUAGGUGAUUUUGUUGUGCCAACAUCAUAUAGCUUGCUUACACAAACCUAGAUGGUAUAGCCUACUACACACCUAGGCUGGAUGGUACUAAUCUUACAGGACCACCGUCAUACACACGGUUCGUCGUUGACUGAAAUGCCGUUAUGUGGUGCAUGACUGUAAUUAUUAUUAUUAUUUUUUAAAGAUUUUAUUUUUUCCUUUUUCUCCCCAAAGCCCCCCGGUACAUAGUUGUACAUUUUUAGUUGUGGGUCUUUCUAGUUGUGGCAUGUGGGAUGCCGCCUCAGCAUGUCCUGAUGAGUGGUGCCAUGUCCGCGCCCAGUAUUCGAACCAAAACCCUGGACCACCACAGCGGAGCACACGAACUUAACCACUCGGCCACAGGGCCGGCCUCUAUUUUUGAAUAUAUAAUACAGGUACACAUUAUAGAACUCAAAAAGUACAAAGGAAUAUAUAUAAAAUACAAUAAAAAUUCCCUUCCACUCCUGUCUUCUGGUUUCCCAGUUCCCUUGCCAGGGGAAACCAUAGCUCUUAAUAUUCUAUGUAUUACUCUACACACACACACACACACACACACACACACACUUUUCUCCCCUGUAUACACUGUUG